rnacentral:rRNA from 1 species
AGAGUUUGAUCCUGGCUCAGGAUGAACGCUAGCGGCAGGCCUAAUACAUGCAAGUCGAACGAUACCUGAGAGCUUGCUCUUGGGGAAAGUGGCGCACGGGUGCGUAACGCGUAUGCAACCUACCUUAAUCAGGGGGAUAGCCUCUCGAAAGAGAGAUUAACACCGCAUAAAAUCACAGUCUGGCAUCAGACAAUGAUCAAAUAUUUAUAGGAUUAAGAUGGGCAUGCGUGUCAUUAGUUAGUUGGUGAGGUAACGGCUCACCAAGACCACGAUGACUAGGGGAUCUGAGAGGAUGACCCCCCACACUGGUACUGAGACACGGACCAGACUCCUACGGGAGGCAGCAGUAAGGAAUAUUGGUCAAUGGAGGCAACUCUGAACCAGCCAUGCCGCGUGCAGGAAGACGGCCCUACGGGUUGUAAACUGCUUUUAUACGGGAAUAAACCUCUUUACGUGUAGAGAGUUGAAUGUACUGUAAGAAUAAGGAUCGGCUAACUCCGUGCCAGCAGCCGCGGUAAUACGGAGGAUCCAAGCGUUAUCCGGAUUUAUUGGGUUUAAAGGGUGCGUAGGCGGCCUAUUAAGUCAGGGGUGAAAGACGGUGGCUCAACCAUCGCAGUGCCUUUGAUACUGAUAGGCUUGAUUACACUUGAGGUAGGCGGAAUGUGACAAGUAGCGGUGAAAUGCAUAGAUAUGUCACAGAACACCAAUUGCGAAGGCAGCUUACUAAGGUGUCAAUGACGCUGAGGCACGAAAGCGUGGGGAUCAAACAGGAUUAGAUACCCUGGUAGUCG